UGGUGGGUAGUUUGACUGGGGCGGUCUCCUCCUAAAGAGUAACGGAGGAGCACGAAGGUUGGCUAAUCCUGGUCGGACAUCAGGAGGUUAGUGCAAUGGCAUAAGCCAGCUUGACUGCGAGCGUGACGGCGCGAGCAGGUGCGAAAGCAGGUCAUAGUGAUCCGGUGGUUCUGAAUGGAAGGGCCAUCGCUCAACGGAUAAAAGGUACUCCGGGGAUAACAGGCUGAUACCGCCCAAGAGUUCAUAUCGACGGCGGUGUUUGGCACCUCGAUGUCGGCUCAUCACAUCCUGGGGCUGAAGUAGGUCCCAAGGGUAUGGCUGUUCGCCAUUUAAAGUGGUACGCGAGCUGGGUUUAGAACGUCGUGAGACAGUUCGGUCCCUAUCUGCCGUGGGCGCUGGAGAACUGAGGGGGGCUGCUCCUAGUACGAGAGGACCGGAGUGGACGCAUCACUGGUGUUCGGGUUGUCAUGCCAAUGGCACUGCCCGGUAGCUACAU
rnacentral:rRNA from 1 species